rnacentral:rRNA from 1 species
GAUGAACGCUGGCGGCGUGCCUAAUACAUGCAAGUCGAGCGAACAGACGAGGAGCUUGCUCCUCUGACGUUAGCGGCGGACGGGUGAGUAACGCGUGGAUAACCUACCUAUAAGACUGGGAUAACUUCGGGAAACCGGAGCUAAUACCGGAUAAUAUAUUGAACCGCAUGGUUCAAUAGUGAAAGACGGUUUUGCUGUCACUUAUAGAUGGAUCCGCGCCGCAUUAGCUAGUUGGUAAGGUAACGGCUUACCAAGGCAACGAUGCGUAGCCGACCUGAGAGGGUGAUCGGCCACACUGGAACUGAGACACGGUCCAGACUCCUACGGGAGGCAGCAGUAGGGAAUCUUCCGCAAUGGGCGAAAGCCUGACGGAGCAACGCCGCGUGAGUGAAGAAGGUCUUCGGAUCGUAAAACUCUGUUAUUAGGGAAGAACAAAUGUGUAAGUAACUAUGCACGUCUUGACGGUACCUAAUCAGAAAGCCACGGCUAACUACGUG